UACGGGGGGAGCAAGCGUUGUUCGGAUUUACUGGGCGUAAAGGGCGCGUAGGCGGCCAGCACAAGUCAGUUGUGAAAUCUCCGAGCUUAACUCGGAAAGGUCAACUGAUACUGUGCGGCUAGAGUGCGGAAGGGGCAACUGGAAUUCUUGGUGUAGCGGUGAAAUGCGUAGAUAUCAAGAGGAACACCUGCGGCGAAGGCGGAUCUCUGGGCCUUACCUGACGCUGAGGCGUGAAAGCUAGGGGAGCGAACAGG
rnacentral:rRNA from 1 species